rnacentral:rRNA from 1 species
UACGUAGGUGGCAAGCGUUGUCCGGAUUUACUGGGCGUAAAGAGCGCGCAGGCGGUCGUUCAAGUCGAGUGUGAAAGCCCCCGGCUCAACUGGGGAGGGUCACUCGAUACUGAUCGACUCGAAGGCAGAAGAGGGAAGCGGAAUUCCCGGUGUAGUGGUGAAAUGCGUAGAUAUCGGGAGGAGCACCAGUGGCGAAGGCGGCUUUCUGGUCUGCUCUUGACGCUGAGGCGCGAAAGCUAGGGUAGCAAACGGG